rnacentral:lncRNA from 1 species
AUGGACAUAUUUGCCUCCGUCUCCAACUGACACACCCCGAUCCGGAGGAUCCAGGUGUGCUGGCCGUCACGUGAGCGUGACGUAACCAUAAGUGCGACACGGAAGCGAAAUAACAACAUAAAUCAGUAGAAAUUCAAACCAAACUCAAACAUAACCACCUACGAACAUAACCGGCCGAGUUAUAAAGUAAACACAUAAGUUCAGAGCAUAGGUUAACUGCAGUCAAGUAGGACUAAAAUAAAAUACAUCACCCUCAGGUGAGUCCUACAUGUCGAGAGUCUGUCAGAAAGCCGGAAAAGACCUCGAGAGCCACCAACCGCUAAAUUAGAACCUGGAGGGGCGCAAAACAAAAUGAGUGGGUCAAUAAAACCAAAGAUUUUCCAAAACACUUCAUUUAAAACAUUUCUAACCCCUCACCGUAAAACCUGUAUACUUUCCCAGAAAAAAAAAAUAUAUAUAAAACCAUAUGAAAUCUCAAACUUAAAUCCCAAAUCUUUAACAUUUUUCAAGAAAAACAUGUCAUGCCAUAAAUCAAAAUAUAAAAAUCAGGUGAAAUAAGGAAUCAAUCGGAGACCCUGCAGUUGGUCCUAUACGAUUAAUUCAAUAGCUCAAUAUCCCACUAAGCCGGAGUCACCACAGUGACCUAUACGGCCCUACUCUGCACAUCACUCGGAACUACGUAAGGUGGUCUAUACGAUGAAAGGUGUAAAAAUACGCUCUAGUGCUUCUCUCAUCAUAUCAUCAGCGCGCAUAACAAGGUCACCCACUAGUCGGAAUCACGCCUAGUGAUCUAUACGACUAGCAUGUCGGAACCCUCACACGGUCUGUACGACAUCCACCUACUUGGAUCCAAGACGAGCGUGCGGUGUGGUGAAUAAUAUAAGCACUAACACCUAGGGUGCAGGUUAUGAGCUCAAAACAUCUCAACAACAACCAAUUCAAUGAAUAAAUGAACUCACCUGACUUACAUGUGCCUCCACUGCACCAUGCAACAUGUAUGCAUCAUAAAUCAAUCAUAUAACUCAUAUGCAAUUCACAUUUUUCAAAUAAUUCUAUGCAUGGCAUUUUCUAAAACAUAUUUUCACAUAAAUUCAUUUUCUGGGAAAAAUCAAUAGUAUAAAGGUAAUACGAAAACAAAACUGCCCACUCACUGAUAAGUCGACGGGUCGUAACCCCCGUGGCGUCCCUUGAUGUGGUCGUCCUCGGAAUACGUCUCACCUAUAUGCGAAACAACUAUAAAAACGUUAAUUUUUAAAACACAUCACCAAUAUUUCGAAAUAACUUCUUAUACGAUGCUCAAUUUGGGUAUAUGAAUAUACCACAUCGACCUACUCGACGUCACGAGCGUCGGGAAAUUUUUAGAAAAAAAUUUGGAGGGCUCACGUGCCCCCACGCGCCGCACGUGGUACGGGCCUACGUGCCCCCCACGCGCCCCUCUUCUUCUUUGGGUCGCCAAACUGGUUUUUCCGGCGACCGGAUUCCGGCCAAUUUUAAAACCUCUUGUUCUCCUUCGUUUUUCACCUAUUUUCUUCGUAUUUUAUAUCAAAUUGAAGCCCCAAACAUGUAGAAUCACGUUGGACUAGUUUUAGGGCCUAAAAUCAAGAAAUAUCACCGGGAAAAUUCCAAGAAUUCGGCCAACUUUGAAACCCACGAUCCCGACGUCCAAAACUCUCCAACGAACGUCCCCGAGCUUCCUUAGGACCUCCUAAAGCUCACUACAAGCUUAGAAUUCCCUGAAACACGACAUUUAACGUGUGCAUGAACAGUAACUCAAAAAUGGGGAUUCAGGUUCUACGCAAUUUCGAAGGUUUCACUUCCUAAAACUAGCACCAAUGAACUUAGAACGUCGAAAGGAUGAAGAUGCAUACCUUGGUUGCCUCGAUCCGUCGAGUUUUGGAGGAUUUGGGGUGAGAGCCGUACGUUUUGGGUGUGUGUGUGCGAGAGAGACGGUGAGGGAGAGAGACAGAGAACCACGGGUUGGGAGAAAGAGAGAGAGAGAGCAGGAGGGUUGUGAUGUCCCCAAAAACAAUCUCAACCAUCCAUUUUUCUAAUUUCC